GCUUGUUAUCGCUGCCCGAGAACAAAACUAGUUUGCAAGAAUUUUCCCGGUUAGCUUGUUAUCGCUGCCCGAGAACACAACUAACUUGCCUAAUGGUCCAAUUUCAGUGGGUAUGGCAUCCGAAAAUUGAUUGUUUGAAAUGUAAAGUGCUGAAAGAUUGGAUGCAUUAGAUACCAUGUGUAAGAUAUGUCCAGAAAAUGAAUUCUUACCAAUAUCAGGCAAAUAUAUUUGUGAUAAACCCCAAAACGACCCAGAGCUUCACCGGAAAGACGGUUGUUCCGCAAUUGGACCCGAAGCAAGCUCCUGCAUUUGCCAAGAUUCGCUUGAAUAUUCCCCAUCAAGGAAUUGGAAUCCAAAUUAAGCACCUUCAGCGUCUCAUUCUUGGACAAAUUCGCUGGAAUUUUGCCUGAAAACCAAUUUCCCGACAAAUCGAGGGUUUGUAACGGCGAGUUCUUGCCAAGCUCAGCCGGCACCAUUGAGCCGAUUGGUGAAUAAUUGGAGGUGGUAUGAGUUUGGGGACCGAGCUAUGCUCUCUGGUAAGAAACCCCUCUACUUGAUUCUCCUACUAAUACAACACCUCGAUUUUGGUUUGAGAAGACUUGUUGUUGAUGUUCAAGCUGCUGCUGCAAGAGGUAAUGUCGCACAACUCAUCUGGAAUCGUUCAUUGACGCAGGUUGGACUAUCCCAGCAGCAACUUGCCGGAGAAAGAGUUGUCAGACAGCUGAAUUUGUACUGGACUGGUGAGUCGGCUAAUCCAACUCAGAAUCGACCCAUUGAGCCUAUUUGCUCGGAAGGUUAAAAGAUAUUUGAGUUGACUCAGCCUUGCAAAGAUCUCCGGAAUUGAACCCACAAAUGGGUUGAAACCUAGUUCCAACGAUUAAAAAUUCGGGAUAUUGCUGAGAAUCGCAGCGAUUCUUCGUGCAAGACCGAGAGUUUCGAGUGGCUGGAAAAGUCCACCGAAGAUAUUCGUCACCUCGAGAUUGAGGUACCUGAGCUCCGGUAUGUUAGACAGCGUGUCCGGAAACUGACCCACCAGGUGAUUGUUGGCUACGUUGAGAUGGGUAAAAGCUCUUAAUGCUCGAAUGGAGGGACCAAGCUAUGCUCUCUGGUAAGAAACCGUCUAUUUGAUUCUCGUGCAAAUUCAGCGACUCAAGAGAUAACGUGCACAACUCGUCUGCAAUCGUCCCAACCAGCUCGUUCAUCGACACGUUGAAUCGUUGCAGAGACUUCAGGUUAGACAAUCCCAGCGGCAACUCGCCGGAGAACGAGGUUGUUAAACAGCUCAAUUUGUACUAUACUGGUGCUGAAAAUCGACCUAUUGAGUCUAUUGCAAAAUAUGCAUAUACCUAGUGCAAAGUAGACCAGUAUCAAGAACCCUAGAAAUUUGUUUCUUGUGACCACGUGGUUAAUUCCUUUUUGAUCCAAGCUGUGGUGCAGACCCAUGACAUUAGGUCCUUCUCCCAGAAUUCAUGAUCAAUUGUUUAUCCAAGCUGGCGCAAUCAACAAAGGGACAGAGUCCAUGUCUGCCACUGCCGGUUCUUGGUUACAUUGCACCAGUGGGUACAAAUCGAGGGUGGACCACCGAAAGCAGCUUGAAUUAGAAGCAGCACGCAAGUCUGGUCUUGUUCCAGUUGAGGUUGAUGAGGAUGGAAACGAAAUCAAUCCUCAUAUUCCUAAAUAUAUGUCCUCUGCACCUUAGUAACUCAAUGCAGAGAAACCGAGUCUAAAUCAUCAACGAAAACAGUACUUGGAUUCAAAUACGAAAGCAUACUACGACAGGGGGACAGAAACUUUUCAGGCUAAAAAAUAUAGGAAAGGUGCAUGUGAAAACUGUGGAGCUAUGACCCGCAAUGCAAAAUUUUGCCCGGAAAGGCGUGGAAGGUGGAAGCAAUGUGGACAUAUGAAGACAUUGUGACACACGAGAAGAUAGAGAAAUUGGAACUGGAUUAUGAUGGCAAACGUGACUGUUGGAAUGGUUAUAAUGCAGCAAGCUAUGCCUAUGUCAUUGACAGAUUUGAGGCAAGGGUUGAAUCCAGGAAGAGCUAUCUGAAGCAGCAAUAUCUCAAAAGAUCUGAUGAGGAGAAAAGCAACCAGCAAAAUGGUUCCUGACAUGGAUCCAAAUUAUAAAUUAUAUAGUGGUGACCAUCAAAACAGAUCAAGUAACCAAGCUUUGUUGUUUCGGCAUUUGAGAUGUUGAAGGCCCUGAUGGGAGUAGAGCCUUAGACUGCCUGUAGGAUUCAGUAACGAAAGGAAAGACUGGUUCAAGCUUUUGCUGGAGAGGCUGCAGGCAUAUAUAAAAACAACUAGUAAGCACAAAGUAUCAUCUUUUUCUAUUUUUGCUGGUGGUGUUAGGUAAAUUGUAAUUCAGCAUCAGUUGCUCAGGGUAACGUCAAAUGCUUGGACGCCUCCUAUUGAAGGGAUGGUGAAGUGUAAUGUUGAUGCGGUUUUUAAUCCAUCUUUGCACAUUGGAGGAGGAGGAGGUGCAGUUUUUAGAGAUUUUUCGGUCUGGGUCUGCAACAUCAAUGGAAGCUAUAUGUCUUAGAAAGGCCAUGGAGUCGGCUCUAAAUGCGAAUCUUCGGGCUAUUUGGUUUGAAAGUGAUUCUAAAAUAGUGUGUGAUGUGGUGCUACAAGAUGAUGGUCAAUGUCCUGUGGAUAUUCAGGCCAUUGUUUUUGAUAUCAAAUAAGGGCUGCGGAGAUUUUCCUCGUCUGGUAUUAGUCAUGUUCGUCGGCAUGGCAACGAGGUAGCCAAAUCUAGCAUUGUCCGGACUCUGGAGUAUGACAGUAUAUAUAUAUAUAUGCAUUGUCCGGAGUAUGACAGUAGGUAGUUAUUUAAUAUGCUCUCCGGUGCUACAAGAUGGUCAAUGUCCUGUGGAUAUUCAGGCCUUUGUGAUGUCGAGCUUCUGCAUUGUCCUGAGUUUAUUCAAAAUCUAGCUUUGAAAGAUAUUUCUCAGGCGUCGUGUUGAGUGUUAUUUUUUGUGUACUUUGCCAGGAUAUAUAUAUCUAUAUAUAUGCAUAUACAUGUGAC